CGAGAUCUUAAGAACAUGCCGCAGAGUUCUAAAGCUCAGAGUUUGAUGCCACGGGGAAUUGGCAAGAAAUCAGGUCAGAAUGCAGGGAUCUCCAAAGUCUUCAGCAGAUCAUGAGGUUUUAGAUGAUUCAUCAACCCCGGACAUUUAUUAUAUGGAAAUAAUGUAAUAAAUACUGGUUCAACUAACACUACUAUAAAUAAUAACAAUACUACUAAUAAAAGACCCUUGGAUAGUUCCACUGAUGAUCACCUUCACCUGAUGAAUUUUUUUCGACCAUCUAUAGUCAAAACGGAUGGACAUGUAAAUCAAUGCCUCCACUACGUGGUAAUGUUUGGCAGUGCACCCCAGAAUGCACAAGUCCCAUGCUGGCUGGGGAAUUCUGAGAGCUGCUAUCUCAAAUGUAGGAGAAGAGCA